GCCAAUGGCACUGCCCGGUAGCUAAAUGCGGAAGAGAUAAGUGCUGAAAGCAUCUAAGCACGAAACUUGCCCCGAGAUGAGUUCUCCCUGAGACUUUAAGUCUCCUGAAGGAACGUUGAAGACGACGACGUUGAUAGGCCGGGUGUGUAAGCGCAGCGAUGCGUUGAGCUAACCGGUACUAAUGAACCGUGAGGCUUAACCUUACAACGCCGAAG
rnacentral:rRNA from 2 species